rnacentral:rRNA from 1 species
UACGGAGGGGCUAGCGUUGUUCGGAAUUACUGGGCGUAAAGCGCACGUAGGCGGAUUUGUUAGUCAGGGGUGAAAUCCCGGGGCUCAACCUCGGAACUGCCUUUGAUACUGCAAGUCUCGAGUCCGAUAGAGGUGGGUGGAAUUCCUAGUGUAGAGGUGAAAUUCGUAGAUAUUAGGAAGAACACCGGUGGCGAAGGCGGCCCACUGGAUCGGUACUGACGCUGAGGUGCGAAAGCGUGGGGAGCAAACAGG